rnacentral:rRNA from 1 species
GUCCACGCCGUAAACGAUGAGUACUAGCUGUAUGGGGUAUCGACUCCCUGUGUAGCGAAGCUAACGCGAUAAGUACUCCGCCUGGGGACUACGACCGCAAGGUUAAAACUCAAAGGAAUUGACGGGGGCCCGCACAAGCAGCGGAGCGUGCGGUUUAAUUCGAAGCUACGCGAAAACCUUACCAGGGUUUGACAUGGCGUUGACCGCCGAUGAAAUUCGGCUUCCCUUCGGGGCGGCGUCACAGAUGCUGCAUGGCUGUCGU